GUAGAAAACCAGAGCUUUUUUAAUCCCGACUCGGUGACCUUCCGACAUGAUGAUCUUGUCCGUACCCGUUGCCUUCCAAUAACCUGACCCGGCUACUCUAUUGGGUCUUGACCCGUUCGGAUAUUUCCGGUCUCUUGGGCUAAAAAAGUACCAUUCCUUCUCCCCAAACAAAGCUUUACCUGCGCGCGAACACAUCACAAAACACCAAAAAGAUCGAACUUGUAGAGAUCGAUAUCUCCGAUUAUCUGGAGAGAGAAAUGGUAGCCUGCAACUUUCCGACAGAGAUACUGAACAAGAAGCUCUUCAUCUGUCGGGUAAAAACGAAAACCUGGAGGUAAGCUCAACUGGGCUAACGGAUCCUUCUCUCUAAUGCCCAUUUUUUUCUCUACUUCGAUUCUUCAGCAGAUAAAAUAAUAUGUUUAAAUGUUUAAGUUCGUCGAUCUCUUUUAGACAACCAUGGAAGUAGCUGCUUUAUAUAUAGGCUGUGUAAAAGGCAAAGGCUCUUCGAGGAUAAGUACGGUCGUUCUUGUCUUACUGUUGUAAAAUCUAAACACGACUUUCUUUGUGGACCAUUUGGACCAUUGACA